UUGAACGCUGGCGGCAGGCCUAACACAUGCAAGUCGAGCGGAUGAAGGGAGCUUGCUCCUGGAUUCAGCGGCGGACGGGUGAGUAAUGCCUAGGAAUCUGCCUGGUAGUGGGGGAUAACGUCCGGAAACGGGCGCUAAUACCGCCUACGUCCUGAGGGAGAAAGUGGGGGAUCUUCGGACCUCACGCUAUCAGAUGAGCCUAGGUCGGAUUAGCUAGUUGGUGGGGUAAAGGCCUACCAAGGCGACGAUCCGUAACUGGUCUGAGAGGAUGAUCAGUCACACUGGAACUGAGACACGGUCCAGACUCCUACGGGAGGCAGCAGUGGGGAAUAUUGGACAAUGGGCGAAAGCCUGAUCCAGCCAUGCCGCGUGUGUGAAGAAGGUCUUCGGAUUGUAAAGCACUUUAAGUUGGGAGGAAGGGCAGUAAGUUAAUACCUUGCUGUUUUGACGUUACCAACAGAAUAAGCACCGGCUAACUUCGUG
rnacentral:rRNA from 1 species